AUAAUUCGNCGAACGCUGGCGGCAGGUUCUAACACAUGCAAGUCGAGCGCCCCACUUGUGGGGAGCGGCGGACUGGUUAGUAACGCGUGGGAACGUGCCCUUUUCUGCGGAAUAGCCUCUGGAAACGGAGAGUAAUACCGCAUACGCCCUUUUGGGGAAAGAUUUAUCGGAGAAGGAUCGGCCCGCGUUAGAUUAGGUAGUUGGUGGGGUAAUGGCCUACCANGCCNACNAUUUUUUUUUUGG
rnacentral:rRNA from 1 species